AAAUUUGAAAUUAGAUAUAUGAAAUCUGAAACCUAAUUAAAUCUUAAAUUCAAAAUUUUAAACUUAAAUUUUAAAAUUUAAAGUUUUAAAAUUUAAAUUUUAAAAAUUUUAAAAUUUAAAGUAUACUAUUUAAACUUUAAAUUUGAAAUUUAAAAAAAUCUAUAUUUUAAAUUUUAAAUUUAAUAAUUUAUAAAUUUAUAUAUUUAUAAAUUUAUAUAUUUAUAAAUAUAUAAAUUUUCCACUCUUUUAGUAUUAUUCCCAUGUUUUUUAUUUUUUUUUGAGAGUCUAUUCCCAUGUGUUAAUAAACAAAUACAAUAAAAUAAAGGGUCAAUUUCAUUUGUGCCCCUCUAAACUUUAAAAAUAUCAUAGAUGCCCCUAUAAAUUUUAUUAUAUCACAAUUACCCCUACAAAUACUUAUUAUUUUUCAAAUAUACCCUUACCCCUACUAUUCAUCUCUUUAUAGAAUGAUAAAAUAUUUAGAUUAUCAUAAAUAUGGUCGAAAUAUCCAUUUUGCCCUUAACUUUUAAAAUUUUUUACAAAAGUAUUUUAGCAUGAUAUAUUUAUUUUAAAAUAUUAAAAUAAACAAUAAAAUAUAUCAUUUUACUGCUGUGGUUUAUGAAAUAAGAUACUAAAAUAAGAUUCUUUAUAUCAUUUAUUUUAAAAUUCGAGAUGCCAAAGCACAGAAAUUUAUCUAGUUUAAAUAACUUAAUUCACAUCGUGCAUAUAUAUUUAAGUUAUAUUUUGAAUAAAUUGUUUAACCUUAUUUAAAGGAGUCAAUUGAUACUUUAAACUUUUUUUGCUAAAUUUUUUUCAAUUGAUUUUUUUAUUUUUAAGCUUAACUGUGAGAUACUGAAUCUUAGCAAAUUAGUAAGGUUACAGUGUAAGUUAUGCUUGAUUGAGCUCGAGACGUUUUGCGCAAAAUAGACGUAAAAAACGGACUUUGAAACUCAAGUUUCAAAGUAGAGGACUAAAGUUGAAUAUCGUAGUAGGUGAGGGGCUUUUGGAUAAUUGUCGCCUUUCAAUCUUACUAGUGAAGGCCCGCGCUUCGCCGCGGGAAAUUUACGCAAUUUCUAAAAUUUUUUAAAUAGAUUAUUCAACAUUGUUUGCUAAAAUUGGUUAUAAAAAUUAAGUAAAAUCAAAAUGAACAAUUAAAUAUUUAAAAUUUAA
rnacentral:lncRNA from 1 species